AGCGAACGCUGGCGGCAGGCCUAACACAUGCAAGUCGAACGAACCUUUCGGGGUUAGUGGCGGACGGGUGAGUAACACGUGGGAACGUGCCUUUAGGUUCGGAAUAACUCAGGGAAACUUGUGCUAAUACCGAAUGUGCCCUUCGGGGGAAAGAUUAAUCGCCUUUAGAGCGGCCCGCGUCUGCUUAGCUAGUUGGUUGUGGGAAUGGCUCACCAAGGCGACGAUCAGUAGCUGGUCUGAGAGGAUGAUCAGCCACAUUGGGACUGAGACACGGCCCAAACUCCUACGGGAGGCAGCAGUGGGUAAUCUUGCGCAAUGGGCGAAAGCCUGACGCAGCCAUGCCGCGUGAAUGAUGAAGGUCUUAGGAUUGUAAAAUUCUUUCACCGGGGACGAUAAUGACGGUACCCGGAGAAGAAGCCCCGGCUAACUUCGUG
rnacentral:rRNA from 1 species